CUUGAGAAUCAGCUGAAUUUUCCAGAAAAAUUCCUCCACCAUCUUUGACAAUUCCUCUCAACAACAAGGUAUUUUCUGGUGUAAAAAAUGGUAAGCGACAGAAAUAAAUAGAAACAGGCCUAGACAUACUAUGCUAUCCCCUAAGGCUGCAAUUGGAGCUAUGAAGUCAACAUACCAGGAUCUAUCAGGCACAUCAUCUACUACUGAGGGAGGAUGAAAGGAUGGAUUAAUCAUGUAUUCACCUGCUUUUGUGGACCAGAGCUCCAGCAAUGAUUGUGAUAACAGCUACCAUCCAUUUUCCUGUCUUACUGAGCUCCACAACAGGAAAAAAUCUCUUCUUUCAGCAAAUCUUUCCUAAGGCUUCCGAAGAACCAGUAGUCAUACAUUUGUAUGAGAGGGAGAAACCAGGAUUCCAGGU